AUGGGUGUGGUCAAGAACAAUGACAUCACAGGCAGGCAGGCUAGGGUGGCAAGAAGGCCCGUGCUCUCUUCAGAAACUGCCAUGAGAGUCAGACUCAUCUCCGCCGUGGUGCUAUGGUUCCUGGGAACAGACCCUGUGGACAUGGAAGUAACCCAGAUGCCAAGAUACGUGGUCAAAAGAAUGGGAGAAGAAGUUUCGCUGGAAUGUGUGCAGGAUGUGGGCCAUGAAAGGAUGUACUGGUACCGACAAGACCCGGGUCUGGGGUUACGACUGAUUUACUUAUCGUACGAUGUUGACAGUAACAGUGAAGGAGACAUCCCCAAAGGAUACGUGGUUUCCCGGAAGAGGCGGGAGCGUUUCUCCCUGAUCCUGGAGUCUGCUAAAACCAACCAGACAUCUGUGCACAUCUGCGCCAGCAGUCUCUCCACAGCUCUCCACAGCCGCAUCCUCUUCACACAAAAAGAGCCUCUUUUGUGGGGAGGAGGUGUUUCUACCUCGUCGCCGAAGCUGUCUCUCACAUCACAUAGUGCCGGUCAGAAAGCGGCGACCACUGAAGAGGAACAUCGAUCCGUUCCUAUCUUAGCAAAAAAACAAUAAAAUAAAAUAA